UACGAAGGGUGCGAGCGUUGUUCGGAAUUACUGGGCGUAAAGGGUGUGUAGGCGGAUUGGUAAGAUAGCGGUGAAAUGCCGGGGCUCAACCUCGGAAUUGCCGUUAUGACUAUUGAUCUAGAGUAACAGAGAGGAUAUUGGAAUACCCAGUGUAGAGGUGAAAUUCGUAGAUAUUGGGUAGAACACCGGUGGCGAAGGCGAGUAUCUGGCUGUUAACUGACGCUGAGGCACGAAAGCAUGGGGAUCAAAC
rnacentral:rRNA from 1 species